CUUGAGUUAUGACCAGUGUCACAUAUGAACAACUUGGGUUACGACCAGAAUUUUAGUUUUAACUUCUGACCAAAGUGAUUGAGUCAAAUGCUGGUCUUUCCUGUAUGGUGUUAAUUGAGAAAUCCUCAAUGUCCAUCUAAGGACACUCAGAUGUGCCUGGAAGAAAGUUUUGCCUAAAAUUAUAUAGGAGAGAGACUUUGAAGGCUGCGUAGAGGGGCCUGAGCCAUCAGCUGACCCUGUGGUUGAUGACAAUGUCACUAUCCAUAGGCUUGCAGGUAGGCAGUAGUGAUGUUGAGGAACUUGUGGAGGGACCCUCAGAAUUGUCUACAGAGGAACCUCAGCAGUUUCUGGCUGAGCAACAGAGAAUGGCAGCUGAAGAGCUUUCUGAAGAGGAAGAGGAAUAUCAACAAUCAGUGAAGCAAAGUUCUUCUGAAAUAAAGGAAAUCCUAAAAAAAUGGACAGAGGUAUGAACAUUUGUAGGGAAUGUUCUGUGCAAUCUUCCCAGUCUUUGUAGAGAAAAAGCCAGUCAUUGCAUUUACUUACCUAAUGACAAUGUCAUGUCAUACUACAGAACUGUGUUAAAGAAAAGACAGAAACUGACAGCCUUAGACCAGUUUUCAGUUCUGAAAAGACUGAGACCUAGUGAGCCAGAAGCAGGUCCUAGUGGGCUACAGACUCUCCCAAGGAGAGAAAGGAUACCAGAGAGCCGGAUUCCUGAUGUUCUUUUGGAAGGGGACGCUCCUUCCAUACAAUAACUACCUUCCAUUUCAUCCUCCCUUCCUGCAAGCCAAAGAUGUAAAGUUGAAUGGCUCCACAGGUGCCAGCUUGGUGACUUGAGAUCAGUCAUCUUUGCCCCACCGUUCUUGUCUGUCAGAGGGAGAUCAUGAUGCCAUCAAUCUCAGGACUGGGAAGAAGCAUGAAUGACAUAGUGCAAGAAAACAUUUAGAAGAGUGUUAACAAGUCCUCAAUAGACACAAGUGGAGACAUUGUCAUCUCACAGCUUGUAUCAAACAUCAAGAAAAAGGAAAUAUGACAUUUCUAGAAUGCUGGUACCAACAGAGGUCAGAGCAGCCUCUAACACAGGCUCUGUACUUUUCUUCAAAUGAAGAUUCUGUGCAUGAGCAAGGGGUUGGUGAGGAGAGAUACGAAGCCAGGAAACUGUUCAGGGACUUUUCCUCCAGCUUCAGGAUACAUUGUGUAGCCAGGAGGAUGCUGGGACCUACUAUGUACCUACUGGGAUGCACUGUAUCAACAGGCUGUGCUCUCCCCAAACAGAAACCCUUCCAAGUGGGUGUCCCCUGUGCAAACAACCCACCUCCUCCUGGCCACCUUGCAGAGGGACCUGACUGAGCCCACAGGGUGCUUUUCUCCUGAAAAAAUGUCAUAAGCAAAGUCACAGCUGAACCCUAAGGGUCCAGUCUGUGAGGCUUCCUUCAGUAGGAGUGUUGUCCUCUCUCCAACCCUAUCCUGGGCUGUCUUUUGUAAAUUCCCCCAGUGAUCUCUGCCUCUCAGCUACAGGAAGCCUCCUGGGAAGGAAGCCAUGAUGCACUGCUUAAGAUGGUUUAUUGACAUGGAAUGAAUGAAUGAAUGAAUGAAUAUAAGAUCUUAGAUGAAAUCAAGCUAGGUUUCACAUUGCUGUGGGGCCACUGACAGAUAAUGUGACCUAUCAAACUUUUAGUUUUUCAUCCUGUUCUUCCAGUUUUAGGUGGGCACCACAGUGUUAACAUGCACUAGGUAUUCAUCCUCGUGAGAGCCUUGCAAAGCUACUCAAAGUUCUUAAAAAAUAGGGCCAAAAAUAUAAACUCCCUUUUUCAGGGAGUGAAAGAGAGGUCAAGAAGAGAUGUCUGUGAAACAGC
ensembl:lncRNA